AUCGUGUAAAUUUGCUCUCGACUUCUCGAGGGCUGCUCGCUAAAGGCUUGGUUUUUAUGCUAAAGCCACACACACCCGGUCUCUGAUCGACGGCGACGGCGACGGCGACGGAGCACGUCACCCGCACCGACCGCCGGCGAAGCCCCUCCGGCCCCUGAUCGAUCGAUAGAUUUGCGCCGCAGUCCGUCCACCCACCCCCGGCAGCGGAGGGCUCGCGCGGGGGAUCAUGGAGCUGCCGGCGGCCGGCGGGGGCCGGCGCACGAGCUACUCGCUGCUGUCCCAGUUCCCGGACGACGCGGGGGGCGGCACCACCGGGGCCUCCCCGGCGGUUCUGCAGCGGCAGUCCAGCGGCGGCAGCAGCUACGGCGCCGGGAGCUCGGUCUCGGCCUCCAGCGACUACCCGUUCCACCUGCCCCCAGCGACUGCCGCCGUGGGAGGAGGGGGAGGGGGAGGGGGCACGCCCUCCCCCUGCAAGAGCUGGGCGCAGCAGGCGGAGGAGACGUACCAGCUGCAGCUCGCCCUCGCGCUCCGCCUGUGCGCCGACGCCGCCUGCGCGGCCGACCCCGGCUUCCUCGACCCCGGCGACUCCGCGGGGUCCAAGAUGGGCGGCGGCGGCAGCGGCAGCGGCAGGGCCUUCCCGCUCGCUCCCCCCUCCCCCACCGCCGAGGCCCUCUCCCACCGCUUCUGGGUAAACGGCUCGUUAUCAUACAGCAACACGAUACCAGAUGGGUUCUACUUGAUCCAAGGGAUGGACCCCUUUGUGUGGUCAAUGUGCACGGACGUGCACGAGGAGAACCGCAUACCCUCAGUGGAGUCUCUCAAGUCUGUCCGCCCCGACGAUUCUUCAAUCCAGGUGGUCCUCGUCGACAGGAGAGCCGAUUUCGAUCUUGGCAUGCUGGAGAACUACGCGUCCAGCUUUCUGUCCAGCUCCUCAGACAUGAAAGAUGUCAUAAAUCAGCUAGCCAAACUAGUGUCUUCCAGAAUGGGGGGUACGACCUCCAACGAAGAGAACUUGCUUCCACGCUGGAAAGAGAGCAGCGAGGCGAUCAAAUCUAGUGCAGGGUCUAUCGUGCUUCAUCUGGGGAAGCUGCCGAUUGGUCUCUGCAAGCACCGCUCUCUGCUUUUUAAAAUGUUAGCAGAUAAAGUCAACAUACCAUGCAGAUUAGUCAAGGGCUGUAAAUACUGUAAAGCUGAAGACGCUUCCUCCUGUGUCGUACGUUUUGGGCUUGAAAGGGAAUAUCUGGUUGACUUGUUUGGGGCUCCAGGCCAAUUAUCUGAUCCUGAUUCUUUCGUCAAUGGUCCCUACUCGCUGUCAGUUCCAUCACCUCUCCGUCCACCAAAAUUUAGGUCAUUAGAGAUCACUUCAAAUUUCAGCUCAGUUGCCAAGCAAUACUUCUCAGACUGUCACUCGCUCAAUCUAUUGUUCAGUGAUGCAUCCACAGGUGCUUCUAGUGGCGCUGCAGUUCCUGUAGACCAAAUGUAUUCGAAGAAACAUGAUGCAGGGGACGGGAUUGCCAACAGCUGGGUGCCAGUGAAAGGGCAAGCAAUUGCGAACCCGGACAUUAUUCUGCCAGAAGCUCCUCGGGAGAUUUUACCACUUAUGACACCGUCCAAUUUGACAGCUGAUAAAAAGAAAGAGUUUCAGUUGAUCGAGGGGAAUCAGUAUCUGCGAAGUACUGUCAGUGAUUUGUCACUUGCUGUGGAUGAUCUGAUCAUUCCAUGGAGUGAGCUAGUUUUAAAGGAGAAGAUUGGAGCAGGUUCUUUUGGAACAGUUCAUCGUGCUGACUGGCAUGGAUCGGAUGUUGCUGUGAAGAUACUGAUGGAGCAGGAUUAUCAUCUAGACCGCUUCAAGGAAUUUAUGAGAGAGGUCGCAAUAAUGAAAAGUCUGAGGCAUCCAAAUAUUGUUCUUUUCAUGGGUGCUGUUACUGAACCCCCAAACCUAUCAAUAGUCACGGAAUACUUGUCGAGAGGUAGCUUGUAUAAACUUUUGCAUAGGAGUGGUGCAAGGGAAGUUCUGGAUGAGAGACGCCGCUUGAACAUGGCAUUUGAUGUGGCGAAGGGAAUGAAUUAUCUACAUAGACGUAGCCCUCCUAUUGUUCACCGUGAUUUGAAAUCUCCAAAUCUUCUAGUCGACAAGAAGUAUACUGUGAAGGUAUGUGACUUUGGGCUUUCGCGACUAAAAGCCAACACCUAUCUGUCCUCAAAAUCUUUGGCAGGAACACCUGAAUGGAUGGCGCCCGAAGUGCUUCGAGACGAGCCAUCCAAUGAGAAGUCUGAUGUCUACAGUUUCGCUGUAAUCCUGUGGGAGCUUAUGACAUUACAACAACCAUGGUGUAACCUGAAUCCUGCGCAGGUAGUUGCUGCUGUUGGCUUUAAAGGAAGAAGACUUGAAAUCCCAAAAGAUUUAAAUCCUCAAGUAGCUGCAUUGAUCGAAUCCUGCUGGAUAAAUGAGCCAUGGCGGAGACCCUCAUUUGCUAAUAUUAUGGAAACUUUGAGACCUUUAAUUAACAAGUGUACAAUAGGGACAUUUGGUGUGACUCUGUUGAAGAGCAUGAGGACGUUCUUCCCUUAGGGCAUGUCUGGUUCAUGCCAUAGCAAUGCCCUACCAAGAUUCGCCGACCGUCCGUUAGGCAGAGAAGAUCGGUUCCAAGUGAUCAGAAGCUACCAUCUCUUUAUCUGCUUGACAGUAUAGUCAAGAAUAUUGGAAAAGAUUAUGUUAAACAUUUUUCUUCAAGAUUACCUGAGGUGUUUUGCAAGGCCUAUAGACAGGUUGACCCUCCCGUUCAUACUAGCAUGAGACACCUUUUCGGAACAUGGAAAGGAGUGUUUUCUCCAACUUCACUGCAAGCGAUUGAGAAGGAACUUGGUUUUCAAUCAUCUGCUAAUGGAUCAUCAGGUGCUGCACAGUCAAAGGCCGAUUCUCCAUCCCAGCGCCCAUCCCACAGCAUACAUGUAAACCCAAAAUAUUUGGAAGCAAGACAGCAGCUCCAACAACCAAACAAGGGGAUUCUGGGAGCCGGUGCAAAGACACCUAUAAUUUCUGAUGCUGAUGAUGUUAUCGAAAGGGGUACCAGGAUUGGUAUUGAUAAAGGCACUGGGAGACGCCUGGAUACUCUAAACUCUAGGCCUCGUGCACAGAAGGAUACUUUUAGUAACCCCAUUCAUGAAAAGCCAGAUAGAGACGUGAGGGGCCCUGGAAUUGCGGGUGCUGGUCAAGUUCGCUCAAAGCCCAAAGGCCAAGACGGAAUUGGGGGUGCAUAUUACACUGGAGGUGUUAGUUCCCCUGAAGAAAUAUUCGACAGACGCAACCAUUUAUAUGCAACUAAGGAUGUUCGCUCUUCCGGUUCUGUACGUUUGGACAGUGCACUUCUCCCAACUCCUGUCAGUAAUUCUGAUAGGAUUGGUAGGCUGUCAUCAUCUGACAAAAGCUGGAAGAACUCUGAGGAAGAAGAGUACAUCUGGGACGACAUACGUUCUCAAGGAGCAGAUUAUGGAGGUGCCAGUUCUGCAAGGAAAGGAGAACCCUUGGCUGACGAUGGCAAUAUUAGAAGCUUCCAUAGGGCUAAUUGGGCAGAGCCUGGAGACCCGUUGGACCCUGACUUCCACAAACAAGAUAGCAUCCCAAGAUUUGGACAUCCAACAAGCCAAGAUAGAAGACUUGCACCGUACAUGGAUCAUGCAGAGUACCUUCAUAGUAAGCGCGAGGGGGAACCAAGAAUUGAUAGGGAUAUGUGGCCUGAAGGACAACCAUUCCCGGAAUCUCGUGGCUCCUCUCUCUGGUUAUCCCAGGAAAAACCUCGUUCAGACAUUGGGCGGGAUCCCAGGAUAUCAAGGUUUUCUAAUCAGUCACCAAGCAUCACUUCAUCUGUACCUGUUGGAUUAUCAGGUGCCUACGCUGGACGAUCAAGCCUUGAAAGUGCAAAACAAAAAUAUUGGCCGCCUUCCUCGCCACCUCUCCAGGCACGUGAGAGCUCCCCAAGUUCCUCGGAGCAUGACAUUUAUGCUUCCAGAUCAUUUCUGCCAUUGGGUCAAAAUCCCCAGGAAGAGCAUAACCAAAGAGCUCAUGCCUUGUCUCAAAAUUCCGCGAAUUCCCAGGGUCGGCCUAGUCUGCAAGCAACUCUGUCACAGGCUUCUCAGAAGACUCAAAAGCACCCUCCUGUGCAGUCAAAGCCACAUCCGAAGCCAUUUCAUCAACCCUUUUCACAAGAAACUUCUUCAUCGCUGUUUAGGCCGUCUGUCCAUCUGCCUCUGUCUACCGGAAUGGAACAGCAGCCUGAAGAGGUCUCCCUGCCCAGUGAUCCCACACAUGCAAAGUCAGAUAAGAUAAGUGCUAGUAAUUUAUUGGCUGGUCUUUUUAAGGGUGGAUUCAUACUAAACACAAGUGAUCAUGCCGUCCCGCAUUCACAUGGGUUGGCAUCUCUUCCAUCUUCCUCAGCCAGCGAAAAUGCCCCUUUGAAGCCUCAUGCGCCAAACUCUCUCCGCCCACCUUUGCCACCAGGUCCACCACCAACACAGAGUGCUGAGAAAGCUGCACCACUGUCAAGUCUUCUCAGUUCUCUGGUUGCAAAGGGGCUAAUUUCUUCACCGUCCACCGAUUCGUCUGCUGUUGCAAGAAAGCCCAGUAAAUCAAGUCCGAGCACAUCAGAUGUCAGUGCUUCAGCUCCACCUCCGCCAAUCGUUCAGCCUUCAGUUGCUAAGGAGACACCUACCCCUGUAAAAGCUUUGUUGACCCAACCUCCUGAAAUCGAGAUGGCUAAUCUAAUCGGGCUUGAGUUCAAACCAGUGGUGCUUCGCGAGCACCGUACAGAGGUGGUCAACAGACUCUUUGAUGACCAAAGCCAUCAAUGCAGAACAUGUGGUUUAAGAUUUAGACUUGAAGAUGAGCUCAGUGCACACACUGCCUGCAAUGGGCCAGAGGAGGCUAGAAAUACUGGCAUCGCACCUGAAAGAUGGUACCCUAGCAAGAGCCGUUGGAUUGACAGAUUACCUGAACCGCAGAGCGUCUUCCUGGACUCUGCAUCUGAUUCAGAUCUGGGAACUGCAGAGGAGGUUUGUGAGUUUAUGGUGCCUGCAGACGAGAGCCAGAUCAUCUGCUGUCUUUGCGGGGAGCAGUUUGAUGACAUGUAUUCCAUCGAUAGGAGCGAGUGGAUGUACAAGGAUGCUGUCUAUUAUGAUCGCUCGAGUGGCAGCGGGGGCAGCUCCCAGAGUAAAGAGCUCGCGCCCAUAGUCCAUGCAAGAUGUAUGACGAGAAUCUCAAGCGAUGGCAUGGAGGUGGAUUAGUAUGUCUGCAAUGUCCAAUAGAAGCAGCAACAGCAGCAGCAGCAGCAACUCAGAUGAUGACAUUGAGGUGGAUUGUCAUGGAGUCUGGUGCCCAGCAGAGCCUCAGAUGAUGACAUGGAUGCGCAUAUUCAUGAGGUCGAUGCACAGCGGCGAUCGAUAAUAUACUGCAGGUGGGGUGAUGAUAACAUCGGCAACGUUUUGGUCAACUCGUCCCUCGAUCUCCACCAUUUGUCGUGUAGAAAGUUGUUUUUACAGAAAGAAUAAUUAAGCAUACCCAGCCAAUUAGUCGGCCAUUUUGAUCCCAGCUGAGUCAACAUUUUGUGGGUCAGAUGACAUAAGUUUGAUCUUUCUGUUGUUCAUAGGAGGCCAUGCAUGUAUGCUAGCGAAAGAGUGUAUUAUUAUUGUCCCUUGAGCAGGCGAGCGAAACGGGUGCGAGCGUCGUCGAGUUACUGCUGUUUUUUGACAAACUUUUUCUCAGCUUUUGAGGUGUGGUAGUGGCUUUUUGUACUUAAAACCAAACUGACAAUAGAACCUGAUCAUGGAUGCAGAUUUGAACUCGCUA